GGUCGGGUAGUUCAGUGGUAGAACAACGGAUUUUUAAUCCGUGUGUCGUGGGUUCGAUCCCCACCCCGAUCACCA
rnacentral:tRNA from 1 species